rnacentral:misc_RNA from 1 species
GGAAGUAAAAGUCGUAACAUGGUUUCCGUAGGUGAACCUGCGGAAGGAUCAUUAUUGUAUAACCGAGGUGCGAGGGCUGUCGCUGACCCGAAAGGUCGUGCACGCCCGAGUGCCCUCACACACAUCCAUCUCACCCCUAUGUGCACCACCGCGUGGGUCCCCCUUUGGCUUGUUCGGAGGGGGGCUUACGUUUUCACACAAACUUUGUAUGCAGUGUAGAAUGUAUUUUUUGUUUUUGCGAUCACGCAAUCAAUACAACUUUCAACAACGGAUCUCUUGGCUCUC